rnacentral:lncRNA from 1 species
CCCAGCUGCUGAUUUCUGCUUCUGGGACAAGAAAGAGUGCAAGACUAUAGUCUAGAGUGGUGCAAAGCUGAGUUUCUCACUUAGUGACUCUUGGCUGUUUUCCUCUAGGACAGAAAACUCAAAAUUUGAGUUGUUUUCAGACCAGAAUCAGAUAUGCUCUCGCUAUGAGUCCUUCGGUAGUGUAACACAUACAAGGCACUUUUAAUUUGGUGAUAUUGAGGUGACUGUAAUAGAGGUGUGGACCACCUGCUCUCUGCCAUCACUGUGCGUGGGAAGCCCAGUAGCUGUUCCAGGUAGAAAACCCUGCAGGGGUUUGACAUGCUCUUCAAGGUGCCCACCAUCAGCCAGGUACUUUCUAUCAUCUCAUGGUUGGCUCACAGCAGCGCAUGAAGCUAGAAUACUGAGAAUGAUGGCUCUGGGUGUGCAUCCUGUGUACUAAAUGGAUUUUACAAGUGUAAAUGUAAAGUGAAAUCGAGAGCUGUGUGGUGUCACUGUCUGUGCAGAGCAUGACAAAAUGCAGAAAACCAUAUCUUCAUAGGUUACUCCUGUAUCUUUGCAUCAUUAGGACAGCACAUCCUCCCUCUUGGUCUCGGUGUUAAUGACCUUUAACCUCACUGAGGAGGAGUGACGUGAUGUAAAAGUGUCAGGACUUUUGUGUUUUAAAUAAAAUUAUUUAUUGAAGCUGGUCUGUUCA